AUUGAACGCUGGCGGCAGGCUUAACACAUGCAAGUCGAGCGGAGAUGAGGUGCUUGCACCUUAUCUUAGCGGCGGACGGGUGAGUAAUGCUUAGGAAUCUGCCUAUUAGUGGGGGACAACAUUCCGAAAGGAAUGCUAAUACCGCAUACGUCCUACGGGAGAAAGCAGGAGAUCUUCGGACCUUGCGCUAAUAGAUGAGCCUAAGUCGGAUUAGCUAGUUGGUGGGGUAAAGGCCUACCAAGGCGACGAUCUGUAGCGGGUCUGAGAGGAUGAUCCGCCACACUGGGACUGAGACACGGCCCAGACUCCUACGGGAGGCAGCAGUGGGGAAUAUUGGACAAUGGGGGGAACCCUGAUCCAGCCAUGCCGCGUGUGUGAAGAAGGCCUUAUGGUUGUAAAGCACUUUAAGCGAGGAGGAGGCUACUGAGACUAAUACUCUUGGAUAGUGGACGUUACUCGCAGAAUAAGCACCGGCUAACUCUGUGCCAGCAGCCGCAGUUAAAA
rnacentral:rRNA from 1 species